rnacentral:lncRNA from 1 species
GGACUCCGACUCCUGGCUUGUUCAGAGAAGGAGAGCCCCGACUCCUGGAUCCCUGGGAGUCCCAGCGGCCAUGGGGACGCGAAGCAGCCCCGAGGAGGGGACCCCGCCGCCGCUGGUCCCGGAAUGCGACGUGGAGGUCCAGCCCCAGGGCCAUCCCGAGGAGUCCCGGGAACAGGAGGCAUCCGAAGUCCUGGCGGAACCUUCGAGCCGCGGGGGAGCUGAGCAGCAGGCAGAGGAAGAAGAAGUGGGAGAAGGCAGCAGCACUGAGAGCAGCCGCGACGCGCCCGAGGCUACGCCUCCGAUAGCUAUGGCGGCCACACCUCCCGCAUCCACCUCUUCGCGGGAAGGGGUGCGAGGGGCGGCGCGGCGCCUGCAAGGACAGCAGCUGGAGGCAUUGACUCGUGUGGCCCUGAUGGAGCAGCGAGUGAAGGAGCUACAGCGCCAGAGGAAGGAGCUGAGGAUCGAGAUGGAGGUGGAGGUGGCCUUGCUGCGGGGUGAGCUGGCUGGGGAGCGAGUGGCCGCUCGCCGGGAGGAGGAGCAGCUGCGGGAGCUGCUGGAGCAGCAGGCGGCCUCGGAGCAGCGCGGCCGCCAGCAGCGGGAACAGGUCUGUUUGGCUCACCGGGUCUUCAUCAGCAGUGUCCUUCCUGGUCCAUGGAUGUUGGUGUGCUCCUAGCCACCUGCGCCCCGGGGUUGUCCCCAUUCCCCAAAGGAAGACAUUUGGGCUCCUGAGAGAGUGAGGGGCAGAUGCCCCUCCUGGUUUUCCUUCUCCCUCCCUGGGCGAGAUUUUUGGGGCUCUUCCUUUGUCCCC